AGGAGCUGCACAUACACGGUUUUCUUGGGGCUUUUGGACACCAAAAUCUGACCUUUUAGCACACAAGUAAGGCACGCACGAGGACCUCCAAGAGGACCCUACCGUGGAAGUUUGAACUCUCAAUCCAACCUACUUGCUUGCAUAUCUUGGUUUGAACUCGGAGGUGAAAUGGAGAAACCCUCUUAAUGUACUUUUGUUUAGGGUUUGCUAUUACUCUUGGUUAUGCCUUUGGUUUUGGAUUGUACUUUUGGGUAUGGAAAUGUAACUUUUGGGGCGAAAUGUAUUUUGUAUACCGACGUGUGGAUUGAAUAAUGG